ensembl:lncRNA
CAGACACGGGCAAUACUUACACUAUGGCUGUUGCUACACUGAAAAGAUAUUUCAUUCCUGCAGUUAAUCUUGUCGCCGAGAGACACAAAUUUAGGCAAAGCACACAGUGGACUGAUGAAACUGUUAAUCAGUUCCUGGCUGCUUUACAGGAGCUUUCGGCUGCAUGUGAUUUUGGAGACAUAGAAGAACAAAUGCUACGUGAUCAGCUUGUGGAGCAAGCAGGUAAUUCACGCAUUUGGGACAGACUUUUGCUUGAGCCUGACCUUACUCUGAAUAAAGCUGCAUCCAUAGCAGUGCAAAUGGAGACUGCAUUGAAGAACUUGGAAAUUCUUUCAGAUACUUCACAAGUACAGGCCAUACAGAGUCACCGAAAUGUAAAACAACAGGACAGAAAGACAUCACCUUCCUCUUCAUCAGUUCACCCAGUCGCCAACGCAAGACAAUGGUGUUCAUGUUAUCAUUGUAGAUCCAACAGCCAUCUGGCUAACAAACCUUCAUGUCCAGCGAUCAGAGCAGUAUGCAAUUCAUGUGGAAAAAUUGGGCACUUUGCCAAAGUUUGUCGCUCAUCACAGAAACAGGUGCGUGAGAUUGUUAUACCAGAGCUCACUGUCUUAUACAUAAAUGUAUCCAUACUGCCUGAGAGCAUUUACCGUAAACAUUUUUCUUCAUGCACCCUCAAUCCAGCGAAAGUAAUAUUAGUUUCUUAUUCCAGAGAGACUAUUCCAGUGCUGGUCUGUUUCUCUACAGACGUCUUCCAUGAUGGUAGUUCUGCGGUGGGCACAUUCAGUAACAUCAGGCUCACCUUUGCUGGGAAUGGAUCUGCUAAAAGCACUUCACUGCCGUAUUGAAGGUGAUACUGUGAUUACAAAUGACAAUUCUGAAAUACUGGCAGUGCAUAAUGUAGGAUAACCAAGUGGAUUUAUACACAAAGUGAAGGUGAAGGAAGGUUUCGUUCCGGUUCAGCAAAAGUUGAGAAGACUGUCAUUGGCAGUUAGGCAAGCAGUUUCUGAGGAACUGAAAAACCUGUUGAAGCACGACAUAAUUAAACGGGUUGAUGCAUCCCCAUGGGUCUCCC